rnacentral:rRNA from 1 species
UACGGAGGGUGCAAGCGUUGCUCGGAAUUACUGGGCGUAAAGGGUUCGUAGGCGGUGCGGCAAGUCGGUAGUGAAAUCUCCAGGCUUAACUUGGAGGCUGCUGCCGAAACUGCUGUGCUAGAGUGCAGGAGAGGCGAGUGGAAUUACAGGUGUAGCGGUGAAAUGCGUAGAUAUCUGUAGGAACACCCGUGGCGAAGGCGGCUCGCUGGACUGCAACUGACGCUGAGGAACGAAAGCUAGGGGAGCAAACAGG